rnacentral:rRNA from 1 species
UCUUAUGUACAUGCCUACAUCGUUAAUGCACCAGGUCCCACCAGAACUCCACAAUUAAGUGUGCUUGGGAUAGAGUAGUACUAGGAUGGGGACCUCCGAGGAAGUCCUGGUGUUUUACAUGCC